CGAGUGAAGCGGCAAAAGCUCAAAUUUGAAAUCUGGCGCCUUCGGUGUCCGAGUUGUAAUUUGAAGAUUGUAACCUUGGGGUUGGCUCUUGUCUAUGUUUCUUGGAACAGGACGUCACAGAGGGUGAGAAUCCCGUGCGAUGAGAUGCCCAAUUCUAUGUAAGGUGCUUUCGAAGAGUCGAGUUGUUUGGGAAUGCAGCUCUAAGUGGGUGGUAAAUUCCAUCUAAAGCUAAAUAUUGGCGAGAGACCGAUAGCGAACAAGUACAGUGAUGGAAAGAUGAAAAGAACUUUGAAAAGAGAGUGAAAAAGUACGUGAAAUUGUUGAAAGGGAAGGGUUUGAGAUCAGACUCGAUAUUUUGUGAGCCUUGCCUUCGUGGCGGGGUGACCCGCAGCUUAUCGGGCCAGCAUCGGUUUGGGCGGUAGGAUAAUGGCGUAGGAAUGUGACUUUACUUCGGUGAAGUGUUAUAGCCUGCGUUGAUGCUGCCUGCCUAG
rnacentral:rRNA from 1 species